AAAAACAAUGCAAUUUAUUAUUGGUCACGGAAACAAGGCCAAACUAGGAAAAAGAACACAAAUAACACUCUAAAUACCAAGGUAUCAGAUUAUACACAGCUCCAUCUAAGUUUUCAGUGUUCAGUUGGGGGCCCUGGGUACACCGAGAAGCUGAACGAUCACAGACAAAAUGAAAAGGAUUGGAGAGAUACAGUUCUUGCCUGGAGGAAUACACACCUGGCAAGUGGCAGAACCAGGGUGAAUGAUAGCAGAAAUGGUGGGAGUUUGGUUCUCUUAAAUCAGCCCAUCUCUGGCUACUCUGUUAAACAGAGGAAGAAGAGAAUUUCUUAUCUGUGGUGUGGUCUUCUUGGUCUGUUCUUACAAGAACUUCUGGCUGCUGUCCAGGUUACUCAUAAGCUGCACCUGUCAGACACCAAAGCCUUCCAUCUACCCCUCAGAGAGAGAAUAAGUGAACAUUUAGCCCAACCUUCAGCAGACUAGCAGGGACUUCCGGAUAACAGUGAAAAUAACAAUGAAAUCUGGACUACAAGAGAGAAAUUCCACUGCAAGCUUUUCUAAAGACAACUCAGUUUUCAAUUUGAUCUCAAUGUGUAUAGUACAGUAGUCAUGCUAGGAAAAGUCUCAACGAUCUUAGCAAUUAACUCAAACUCCUUAACAUAAACAAACCCUCUGGUGGGGGAAACGCCUUCAGGGAUGCUGAGCCCCCAAACAGACAACAAGAAACUUGAAACAUCUACUGGCAUUUUCCAUCUAUUAUCUUCAAGAAUCAGUGCCCACAGUUUUCUCUUAAAAAUUCCCAGGACUGAAUCUGGAAGCUGCUCCUGGUCUGACUGUCUCUCUUGGAUACUGUCAACACAAUAAUCUUAAUAGAUAUAAAUACAAACAUGGCUAGAGGCCAACCAGAUCUUUCUCGACUCCCUUGUUCCUCUCUGGCUCCAUGCCCAAAGAGCUCACAGUGCUGACCUCAAACUCCGUGUGCCACCUGACUUCACCUUUUCUUCUUUGAUUAUCAAAGGAAAGCUCUAUUUGUCUCUAAACAUAUCUCAUUUUCAUAGCCAAAUCUUUUGGAACACAUGGUUGCCUAUUACAAAAUCCACAAUGUGAGUUACCGGGGGUACUUGGCUAUAAGAUGCCAGUUUCUCUUCCCUUCCCUCCUUCCCUUUUCUUUCCUUUCUCACAUACUCAUUCAGGCCCUACUAUAUAUUAGGAACAGCAAUACACAUUUAAGACAGAGAGAUGAUGUGACUACUUUGCUUUUAGUUUAUAGUUAAAAGAGAAGGUGGAGGGGGAAAAAG
rnacentral:lncRNA from 1 species